rnacentral:rRNA from 1 species
AUGAACGCUGGCGGCGUGCCUAAUACAUGCAAGUCGAGCGAACAGACGAGGAGCUUGCUCCUCUGACGUUAGCGGCGGACGGGUGAGUAACACGUGGAUAACCUACCUAUAAGACUGGGAUAACUUCGGGAAACCGGAGCUAAUACCGGAUAAUAUAUUGAACCGCAUGGUUCAAUAGUGAAAGACGGUUUUGCUGUCACUUAUAGAUGGAUCCGCGCCGCAUUAGCUAGUUGGUAAGGUAACGGCUUACCAAGGCAACGAUGCGUAGCCGACCUGAGAGGGUGAUCGGCCACACUGGAACUGAGACACGGUCCAGACUCCUACGGGAGGCAGCAGUAGGGAAUCUUCCGCAAUGGGCGAAAGCCUGACGGAGCAACGCCGCGUGAGUGAUGAAGGUCUUCGGAUCGUAAAACUCUGUUAUUAGGGAAGAACAAAUGUGUAAGUAACUAUGCACGUCUUGACGGUACCUACUCAGAAAGCCACGGCUAACUACGUG